rnacentral:rRNA from 1 species
AUGGCAAUUGUCCAUACCUACGGGAAGCCUGACAUCUUCUUGACCAUGACCUGCAACCCUAACUGGGAAGAGAUAACGAAUGAGUUGUUUCCUGGUCAGACAGUGCAAGACCGACCUGAUCUUGUGGCUCGUGUGUUCCAUGGCAAGCUAGAGGCUAUGAAAGAGAUGUUGUUCAAGAAGAAUAUCCUGGGUGUUGUUGUUGCACAUGUAUACGUAGUCGAGUUCCAAAAGAGGGGCCUC